rnacentral:tRNA from 1 species
GCUUUCGUGGUGUAGUGGUCAGCACGCUCGACGCGUAACCGAGAGGUCCGUGGUUCAAUUCCCGGCGAAGGCG